rnacentral:rRNA from 1 species
AUUGAACGCUGGCGGCAGGCCUAACACAUGCAAGUCGAGCGGAGCGGCGGAAGGGUGAGUAAUGCCUAGGAAUCUGCCUGGUAGUGGGGGAUAACGUCCGGAAACGGGCGCUAAUACCGCAUACUAUCAGAUGAGCCUAGGUCGGAGUAGCUAGUUGGUGGGGUAAAGGCGUACCAAGGCGACGAUCCGUAACUGGUAUGAGAGGAUGAUCAGUCACACUGGAAAUGAGACACGGGCCAGACUCCUACGGGCGGCAGCAUUGGGGAAGAUUGGACAAUGGGCGAAAGCCUUAUCCAGCCAUGCCGCGUGAAUGAAGAAGGCCUUCGGGUUGUAAAGUUCUUUCGGUAGCGAGGCGUUAACUACAGAAGAAGCACCGGCUAACUCCGUGCCAGCCGCCGCGGUAAGUC